UCUCCGUUGGUGAACCAGCGGAGGGAUCAUUACCGAGUUUACAACUCCCAAACCCCUGUGAACAUACCAAUUGUUGCCUCGGCGGAUCAGCCCGCUCCCGGUAAAACGGGACGGCCCGCCAGAGGACCCCUAAACUCUGUUUCUAUAUGUAACUUCUGAGUAAAACCAUAAAUAAAUCAAAACUUUCAACAACGGAUCUCUUGGUUCUGGCAUCGAUGAAGAACGCAGCAAAAUGCGAUAAGUAAUGUGAAUUGCAGAAUUCAGUGAAUCAUCGAAUCUUUGAACGCACAUUGCGCCCGCCAGUAUUCUGGCGGGCAUGCCUGUUCGAGCGUCAUUUCAACCCUCAAGCCCCCGGGUUUGGUGUUGGGGAUCGGCGAGCCCUUGCGGCAAGCCGGCCCCGAAAUCUAGUGGCGGUCUCGCUGCAGCUUCCAUUGCGUAGUAGUAAAACCCUCGCAACUGGUACGCGGCGCGGCCAAGCCGUUAAACCCCCAACUUCUGAAUGUUGACCUCGGAUCAGGUAGGAAUACCCGCUGAACUUAA
rnacentral:rRNA from 3 species